rnacentral:rRNA from 1 species
UCUUUAAAUAGGGACUAGUAUCAACGGCAUCACGAGGGUUAUACUGUCUCCUUUCUCCAAUCAGUGAAACUGAUCUUCCCGUGAAGAAGCGGGAAUAUAAUCAUAAGACGAGAAGACCCCAUGGAGCUUUAAAUUUAUAGCAACUCAGUCAAACAAAUACUUAUAAUUCACAGAGCAUGCGUAUUAAUUUUAGGUUGGGGUGACCGCGGAGUAAAAAUUAACCUCCACGACGUAAAGAACUAAGUCUUUAUCCAAGAGCUACAACUCUAAGAAUUAGAACACUAACGACAAUGACCCGAUAAUCGAUCAACGGACCAAGUUACCCUGGGGAUAACAGCGCAAUCUACUUCGAGAGCUCCUAUCGACAAGUAGGCUUACGACCUCGAUGUUGGAUCAGGGUAUCCUAGUGGUGCAGCCGCUACUAAUGGUUC